rnacentral:rRNA from 1 species
AGUGAACGCUGGCGGUAGGCCUAACACAUGCAAGUCGAACGGCAGCACAGUAAGAGCUUGCUCUUACGGGUGGCGAGUGGCGGACGGGUGAGGAAUACAUCGGAAUCUACUUUUUCGUGGGGGAUAACGUAGGGAAACUUACGCUAAUACCGCAUACGACCUACGGGUGAAAGCAGGGGAUCUUCGGACCUUGCGCGAUUGAAUGAGCCGAUGUCGGAUUAGCUAGUUGGCGGGGUAAAGGCCCACCAAGGCGACGAUCCGUAGCUGGUCUGAGAGGAUGAUCAGCCACACUGGGACUGAGACACGGCCCAGACUCCUACGGGAGGCAGCAGUGGGGAAUAUUGGACAAUGGGCGCAAGCCUGAUCCAGCCAUACCGCGUGGGUGAAGAAGGCCUUCGGGUUGUAAAGCCCUUUUGUUGGGAAAGAAAAGCAGCAGGUUAAUACCCCGCUGUUCUGACGGUACCCAAAGAAUAAGCACCGGCUAACUUCGUG